GGAGGAAAAGAAACUAACCAGGAUUCCCCCAGUAACGGCGAGUGAAGCGGGAAGAGCUCACGUUGUAAAUCUGACUCACGUCCGAAUUGUAGUCUGGAGAGGCGAGGCCAGCCGGCGGAGGGGGCGAAGUCUCUUGGAAAAGAGCAUCAAGGAGGGUGACAAUCCCGUUCUUGCCCCCAUGUUGUCGCGCGUACGGCCCGUUUUCUACGAGUCGAGUUGCUUGGGAUUGCAGCUCAAAGCGGGUGGUAAAUUCCAUCUAAAGCUAAACACGGGUGGGAGACCGAUAGCGAACAAGUACCGUGAGGGAAAGAUGCAAAGAACUUUGAAAAGAGAGUUAAAGAGUGCCUGAAAUUGCUGAAAGGGAAGCGAAGGAAACCAGUGUCUGGCGGCUCCGCUUCCUCAUGGCCCCUCGGGGCCUUGAAUCGCGUUGCCGUCGUGGCCAGGGCUGGGUAGAGUCGCGGGAGCCUGCGCCUCGGAAGGUAGGCAGUCCUCGGACGCUGAAUACCGUGGCGUGUCGUCGCGAGUCUGGCCGGUUCUGACGAAANGGUUUUCUUNAC
rnacentral:rRNA from 1 species